UGGUUCCGCCCGGAUCAGAACCAGACCCUUCUGCGUGUAAAGCGAAUUGAUAACCACUACACUACGGAACA